CAAAUGCGAUAACUAGUGUGAACUGCAGAUAUUUUGAACACUAAGAUUUCGAAUGCACAUUGCGCCAUGGGAAUUUUAUCCCUUGGCACAUCUGGUUCAGGGUCGUUUUUGUCUAAAGCGAAUGCUUUCACAGUGAAACCGCGAACAGUUGCAUGAUCACUUUGCUCUACUUGAUGCAUAGUGUUCGUGUAUAGUGGAGAAUUUCAUUCAUGCCCUUUAACUCUUUGACUGGCCCGCGCUGAGCAGCAUUGUAGCUUCUAAGCUGUCCAGGUGGGUUAACUCUGGGUUAAUCGGGCGAUAUCGCUAUUUCGACCUGAACUCAGGUGUGAGCACCUGCUGAACUUAA
rnacentral:misc_RNA from 1 species